AUCGGAUGUGAUUUUGGCUUUGUUUUCAUCCAAGCCACACAGAACUCGUGCUUGAGGGACCAAGUACCUCUGAAAGAAACAAUGCCCCACAUCCUUCCCUUAGUUGUCUGACAAAAGCCUGAUGGUUCCAAUUCACCACUUCAUUAUGCCCAAUGCCAUUUGCUGGAAUCCACAGCCCAUGGAACACUGGAGUUCCUUUAACUGGGUGUUCAAAUCAGAGGAACUCUGUCCAAAAUGCCCCAUGUCUGGCCUGAAUGUGAAUUAUCAGAUGUGAUUAAACAGUGCAUCAGUGGCUUCUCUUAC